ensembl:snoRNA SNORD36 Small nucleolar RNA SNORD36
GGGCAGCGGUGCUUGAAUUUCUUCACCUGAAGUCACUGUAAACUGAGCUUUUUAACACUGAGUCACA